GGCGCGAUGGCCGAGUGGUUAGGCAGGGGUCUGCAAAACCCCGUACGGCGGUUCAAUUCCGCCUCGCGCCUCAA
rnacentral:tRNA from 3 species